AUUGAACGCUGGCGGAAUGCUUUACACAUGCAGGUCGAACGGUAGAGGGGGCAACCCCUCGAGAGUGGCGAACGGGUGAGUAAUAUAUCGGAACGUGCCCAGUCGUGGGGGAUAACGUAGCGAAAGUUACGCUAAUACCGCAUACGAUCUAAGGAUGAAAGCGGGGGACUCGCAAGAGCCUCGCGCGAUUGGAGCGGCCGAUAUCAGAUUAGGUAGUUGGUGGGGUAAAGGCUCACCAAGCCAACGACCUGUAGCUGGUCUGAGAGGACGACCAGCCACACUGGAGCUGAGACACGGUCCAGACUCCUACGGGAGGCAGCAGUGGGGAAUUUUGGACAAUGGACGCAAGUCUGAUCCAGCCAUUCCGCGUGCAGGAUGAAGGCCCUCGGGUUGUAAACUGCUUUUGUACGGAACGAAAAGGUUUCUAUUAAUACUAGGAGCUCAUGACGGUACCGUAAGAAUAAGCACCGGCUAACUACGUGCCAGCCGCCGCCGUAA
rnacentral:rRNA from 1 species